rnacentral:ncRNA from 1 species
UCUUAUCAAGAGAAGCGGAGGGACUGGCCCUGUGAAGCUUCAGCAACCAACAUAUUGUCAGGUGCUAAAUCCAGCUAGCGAAUAGCUAGGCAGAUGAGG